ACUUCUCUAAAAAUAACCAAGCAAGAGAUGGUCAAAACUCAAAACCGUCAAAAUUGAAAAUCAGUCAUUGGAUGUAUUCCAUUGAAGAAAGCACCGCAUAAUAAUAAAACUCUCAUUCUCAUCCCUCCUACCCAGAUCUCACACUUUCUAUUUUCUUUUUUCAUACUAAAAAAACUAACCAUAUUUCAUUCCUAAAUUUCUCUAUUUCUUUCUAUUUUUCCAAACUUCAAAGGUAUUCCCUUUCUUUUUCUUUAAAGUUUAACCCCUUUUAAUUCUUGUUUUUUAAUUUCCAUUUUCUGUAUUUUAUUUGACUUAUUCUUCUUCAACUUGGAGGAAUCUUAAUCAUAUAAAGAUUCCACCUUUAUAUUUAUAUAUAUGAUUGAUUAUUAAACUUACUCCAUUUUUUUUUCUAAAUCUAGUAGUUGGGAACGAACUUCAUUUCGUUUGGUGUACAAGUUGUUGGGUUUUUCAUUGAAGUUUUCAACUGCUUGAAUUUUCUACGAAAUAAGGCCGUGUUUGGUGUUUUUUUUGGGUUAGUUGAAGAUUAAAGGGACUUUUUUUCCCUUUUCUUUUGUGGGUUGAUUUAAUUAUUUUGGUUGGUGUUGUUCCGAUGCCGGAGGAGGACUUAGUGGAAGUGAAAUUCCGGUUAUAUGACGGGUCGGAUAUCGGGCCCUUCCGUUAUUCACCGGGUUCAACUGUUGCCCAACUUAAAGAAAGAAUUGUUGCUGAGUGGCCCAAAGGCUAUGGGACUUAAUGGUAGGAGGGUUUGGAUGUUUUUGUCGAGCUCUUUGAAUAAGAAGGUCAGUCCGAAGGCUGCGAAUGAUAUCAAGAUUAUAAGUGGUGGUAGGAUUUUGGAGAACAGCAAGAAUGUUGGUCAAUGUCGGAUUCCCUUUGGUGAGCUUCAAAAAGCGGUUAUUACAAUGCAUGUUGUUGUUCAACCAUCUGUAGCAAAAUCAAAAACAGAGAAAGAGAAGGAUCUUCUACCCGCAGUGCGGUGCGAACUCAAUUUCAAUGAAAUAAAGAAUACGCAACUGCGCCUGUUAACUCGGAUAGCCUUUCAAUGAGAUCAAGUUCAUCCUGCCAUGAAAUAUGUAUUGGUUGAGAAUCAUGGUAUUUGACCCUAAAGAAAAGAAAAUUGAUGACUCUCAAAGAAAGGGAAUCUGUUCAUGUUCGAUACUGUAAGAAUUUAUGUUGUGACCAGAUCUGUUAUGUCGCGUGUUGUGUGCAUGUUGUUGGGUAAUCAAUCUCUUGAGUCAAACAAUUAUGAUGCUGGAAAACCUGAAUAAUUCAAGAGCUGAGAAGAUCGAUCUUUACUGCUUAAGUUUGCUAGGAAUUGUGUGUAUGACGGUGCAGGGCUAUCCAUGAUGUAUUUCAAAAUUGACUUAGGGGGACGAAAACCCGUGUAUCAUGUAUCUGGUCCUUCAAAUUUUUAUUAGUUUUAAACAUGCAGGAGGAGAUUUAUUUGGCUAAGGAGAAUGCUCAUUAAGAUAAAAUGGUACAGUUGUAAUGUAUAGUAGGAGGGCAAGAAAAGGAGAUACUACUUUGGUUUUUGUCUUAUGAUUGUGAUCUGAAUGGAAUUUCUCACGGACAGCUAUAUCUGUUCAUUCAGUUUUGAA